GAUGAACGCUGGCGGUAUGCCUAACACAUGCAAGUCGUACGAGAGUUUUUAACUCUAGUGGCGGACGGGUGAGUAAAGCAUCGGAAUGUAUCCUGUAGUGGGGAACAACCUAGCGAAAGUUAGGCUAAUACCGCAUACGCCCUGAGGGGGAAAGCGGGGGGACCUGUGAGGGCCUCGCGCUAUUGGAGCAGCCGAUGUCAGAUUAGCUUGUUGGUGAGGUAAAGGCUCACCAAGGCGACGAUCUGUAGCGGGUCUGAGAGGAUGAUCCGCCACACUGGAACUGAGACACGGACCCGACUCCUACGGGAGGCAGCAGUGGGGAAUUUUGGACAAUGGGCGCAAGCCUGAUCCAGCAAUGCCGCGUGCAGGAAGAAGGCCUUCGGGUUGUAAACUGCUUUUGUACGGAACGAAACGGUCUGAGUUAAUACCUCGGGCUAAUGACGGUACCGUAAGAAUAAGCACCGGCUAACUACGUG
rnacentral:rRNA from 1 species